rnacentral:lncRNA from 1 species
UCCUGUCACAGGGUGAGGCCCAAAACAAUAUCCGAGUCUACAUAACAACAAAAGAACCAUAAUAGAGAGCAAAUGCAACCAAUCAUAAAACCAGAACUGCCUUCCUAUUAAGCUUGAUUAAGAACCACAACAAAAUCAGGCAUCUGAAAGUUGGAGAGAAUAAGAAUAAGCACGGGAAAGUCUAGAUGAAAGAUAAAUUGUAGUAGAAAAAUUACUAUACUCCCUCUAACACUAUAUAAUUGACAGCGUCAAAGGUUGAUCUGUGGCCAAUAACUAGACCAAGUCUUGCACCACCUUAAGCACCUACAUUGAUAACAUACACGUAUGCGUAACAACAAAAAACUGUCACAGGGUGAGGCCCAAAACAAUAUCCGAGUCUACAUAACAACAAAAGAACUAUAAUAGAGAGAGCAAAUGCAACCAAACAUAAAACCAGAACUGCCUUCCAGUUAAGCUUGAUUAAGAGCCACACAACAAAAUCAGGCAUCUGAAAAUUGGAGAGAAUAAGAAUAAACACGGGAAAGUCUAGAUGAAAGAUAAAUUGUAGUAGAAAAAAUACUAAACUAUACUCCCUCUUGACACCCUCGAUGAACACUAUAUAAUUGACAGCGUCAAAGGUUGAUCUGUGGCCAAUAACUAGACCAAGAUUAGCACCACCUUAAACACCUAUAUUGAUAACAUACUCGUAUGCGUAACAAACAAAAUACUGAUGAAAGAGAGAAAAGACAAAACCAAGCCUCAAACCAGAAGUGCCUUCAAGUUAUGAACACCUAGAAAUUGAAGAGUAUUAACAAUAAGUACGGGAAACUCAAGGUAGAAGAGAAAACGUAAAAGGAAAAAUACUAUUCUGCACUCCAUGUGCCACCCUCAACAAACAUUAUAUCAAUGACGGCAUCAAAGAUUAGUCCGUAUCCAAAAACCAGACCAAGAUACUAAGUUGAUAGAAUAAAAUUUAUAUUGUCUCCUGUCACAGGGUGAGGCCCAAAACAAUAUCCAAGUCCACAUAACAACAAAUAAACUAUAAUUACAGAGCAAAGGUGACCAAUUAUUAAACCAGAAAAGCCUUCCCGUGAAGCUUGAUUAAGAACCACACAGCGAUCAGGCAUCUGGAAAUUGAUGAGAACAACGGUAAGCAAGGCAAACUCUAGGUACAAGAGAAAAUGUGGUAGAAAAAAAAACUAUAUGUACUCCCUUUUCCACGCACGAUUAACACUAUAUCAAUAACAACAUUAAAGAUUUGUCUGUGUCCAAAAACCAGACCAAGAAAGCCCCCACCUUAAGUUCCUACUUUGAUAGAAUCAGAACAUACAAGUCAACAUAACAACAAAAGAACUAUAAUAGAGAGAGAGCAAAGGUAACCAAUCAUCAAACCCGAACUGCCUUCCAGUUAAGCUUGAUUAAGAACCAAAAACGAUCAGGCAUCUGAAAAUUGGAGAGAAUAACAACAAUAA